AUUGAACGCUAGCGGGAUGCUUUACACCUGCAAGUCGAACGGAGUGGCGGACUGGUUAGUAAUAUAUCUGAACGUGCCCAGUCGCGGGGGAUAACUACUCGACCGCGUUGCUAAUACAGCCUACUCUUGGCGCUGCCGAUAUCGGAUUAGCUAGUGGGUUGGGUAAAGGCUCACCAAGGCAACGAUCCGUAGCUGGUUUGCGAGGACGACCAGCCACACUGGGACUGAGACACGGCCCAGACUCCUACGUGAGGCAGCAGUGGGGAAUUUUGGACAAUGGGGGAAACCCGGAUCCAGCCAUCCCGCGUGUAUGAGGAAGGCCUUCGGGUUGUAAAGUACUUUUGGCAGAGAAGCGGUAUCUGCAGAAUAAGCACCGGCUAACUACGUGCCAGCAGCCGCGGUAAUAC
rnacentral:rRNA from 1 species